ensembl:miRNA
AAGAAGCUUGUAGAUUUUUCUCCCUUACUAUCUAGAAUUAUAGGACUUCAGUCCAUGAUUUGGAAAAAUUACUGGAAUUGGAGUCAAAAAUAAUUUGAAAAUUAGGAAU